rnacentral:lncRNA from 1 species
UGCUAUGGAGGACCUGCUUACUGCUAUGAGGUGUUACUUUAUAGAGGUCCUGGAGAAGCUGAUUGAGGCCACGUCAAUGUUGCAAGGAGACAUGAGACUCACAUCAGAGUUCUAUGGCUUAACAUGGGGGAUGGUGGAACAAAGUUACCCUCACAGCAGUGUGCGCAUGUCUGCCAUGUCCAGUGAAAAGAACCAGAGAUCCUUGGGGAAAUGUCUGAUUCUAAGAUAUUUCUAAGGCUGGUGAAAAAAUAUAUAAGAUAAGCCUGGAGGAGAAGGACCAGUAAUACCAGAAAUCAAGGAGGGGCCUUGAAGAGAAAAGGAUAGCAAAAGGAUGAAGACCUGUCCAAGACCCAGCAGCCAGCAUGAAAGAGCUCUCAAUGGGGAAAGCUGGAACAAUUUCAACAACAAAAUAAAUAACAUAUCACUGGAUUAUAAU